AUUGAACGCUGGCGGCAGGCCUAACACAUGCAAGUCGAGCGGAUGAAGAGAGCUUGCUCUCUGAUUCAGCGGCGGACGGGUGAGUAAUGCCUAGGAAUCUGCCUGGUAGUGGGGGACAACGUUUCGAAAGGAACGCUAAUACCGCAUACGUCCUACGGGAGAAAGCAGGGGACCUUCGGGCCUUGCGCUAUCAGAUGAGCCUAGGUCGGAUUAGCUAGUAGGUGGGGUAAUGGCCCACCUAGGCGACGAUCCGCAACUGGUCUGAGAGGAUGAUCAGUCACACUGGAACUGAGACACGGUCCAGACUCCUACAGGAGGCAGCAGUGGGGAAUAUCGGACAAUGGGCGAAAGCCUGAUCCAGCCAUGCCGCGUGUGUGAAGAAGGUCUUCGGAUUGUAAAGCACUUUAAGUUGGGAGGAAGGGCAGUAAGUUAAUACCUUGCUGUUUUGACGUUACCAACAGAAUAAGCACCGGCUAACUUCGUGCCAGCCGCCGCGGUAACAC
rnacentral:rRNA from 1 species